CAUGCCCUCGCCUCCCGGGGAAGUUGCUGCGCAGGAGAAGCAUGGAAGACAGUGCUGAGGGCAAUUUGAACUGUGGAAGCCUAGCUCAAGAAAUAUCAGAGGGGAUAUUGGUAAGUGGCCUCGAGAUCAUUCUUGUGAUAUUUUGACAAAGAAUGUGGCCGCUUUCUGCCGUUGUAAAAUUUUGGUGGAGGUGAAUUGAAGCAAAUUGGAUUAAUGGCAUCGGUAGGGGAGAUUUCAAGAUCACCUAAUAUUGACUGUGUUGGUUACUAGCAGUCCCUCUUCUGUACAUCUACAGUGAAAAGCAAGUGGGCAAGGAGAAAUGCUGAAUGUACAGUUUGAGAAAGGGAGCACAGGGAAAUGUAAUGGCGCUAAAUCCAGUGUUCAAGGAGAUAAAAGGUUUAAAGAAAAGCCUGAUGCUAAAAGGAAUAAAGGGAAUGGUGACCCAGGCAAAACCCUACCCAGCUAAGCUUCCACCUUUUAAAAAGAAGUUAAAGAAAAACUUAAGCAGUGAAGAAAACGAUCAACAACAGAAAGCUGGUGCUAAUGUAAUUGAAAGAGAGGACUGUGUUCCAGCCCCAGCAAGCAGUAGAACUUGGUGUUAUGAUAAUGCGUGUGGGGGACCUUACAUAGGAGACCUUGGCAGAUUCUAUGGCCCACGAAGUUGACCGAGGCAGGGGACAAACAUGCCAAGCAAACAGAGCUUAAGAGGACAGAAGAGAAGAGGGAGACAGGAAAAGUCCUGUCUGCCCCAGGGGAACAGCGGGAUAGAGAGCUUAAGUGGGAGAUGGGGGCGCAGGGGUUGCACCUAUGUGCAGACUAUGGAACCAUGGCUGACCAAGGUACUUCCUGAGUGCAUUCUGCUAGGUUACAGGGGCAGGUCAGCAUAAUGCCCCGAAUCCUUUACACUUGGCGGCUUCAGCCUCAUGGUUCUAGCCUUAGAGUCAAGGAUACAAGAAAGGGGUUGUGGAAUCUCUCUCCACAGCUAAGGAAAGCAAGUCAUUGAGGCCAGGCAUGUGCCAGGGGUGUUCCUGCAUAGAGGCUGCCUGGAUUGUGCUGGAGACCCCAAGCUGUGGGACAUGUCAGAGUCGUGG
rnacentral:lncRNA from 1 species